ACCGCUUAAUACGUCCGGUUGUAUGCUAUUGACCUCCGUUGUUUCUAAAUUUCGAUUAUCCGAAGAUCCCGUGAGGGCUCACGACUCGAUUCUUAGUCGAUAGACCGGUUAUUGACUUGGUUCUUCGCAAACUGUCCGACGAACGAUGAGGUUUCACAUGAUCUUCCGUCAAAAUUGAUAACAACGUAGAAAUGUAUAAAUAAUCUCUGAUAACAAUAAUUCGGUCAUAAAAUAUCAAAAAUUAUGGAUAAAUAUUCGGAUUUCGCGGCAUUCGUACAUUUCACGAAAGAGAGAAGAAGAAUCAAAUAUAUACACGCGCAAGAUACGUUCGCAGCUGAAAUCACUUUAAUCCCGUUUCUGUACUGGCAAUUUUUAAUCCCAAGAUAAAAAUACGAGAUGCUUUUUGUACUGUUUAUAUUUUUUCUCGCAUAUCUGUUUAAUAUCUUCUCAGUGUGUUGCGCAGUUGUAUAUCCGCAUAAGAAAUAUAUUCAAUAUAUUAUCUCAGCUAGUUUCUUCAAGUUCGUCUCUUCGCAGCGCGCCGAGGCUGAUUGUGAGUGAAAUAAAAAUUAUUCUCUUGUUGAGGAGAGAAGCGUCACGUGCAUAAUUACGACGUCUCCGAUAAUCCGGAAAAGCUGGCACGCCGAUCUCGUCGGAUGGCGACGCUGCGCGUCAGGGACAAAGAGGCACAGCAGACAAGAUUCCGCGUUUUGCGAUACGGAGUAAAUUCUUCUAACGCAAGAAAUGGACAUAUAUAUAUA